GCACAAAGUCCUGCACAGCCCCACUGCAGAAGCUCCACACAGUGUGAGGGGUCGAUAUGUCACUGCUAUUAGAGUGUGAGGAGAGGCCCACUAAGAGAAGUGCCUGAUAAAAUCACAAGAAAAGAAGGCCCUUCAUCCAACAGGAGCAACAACGUAUACCGUGCUUUAAAAUCUACAAGAGGAGUGACGGAGUUGAAGAACAGAUAACGAUCAGUGAGGCCUGUUUGACGAGGAAACAUCUGACAGCUGAACAGAACGCCGGGUGGCUUUGCAGAGGCACAAGUAUG